rnacentral:rRNA from 1 species
GUAGUCCACGCCGUAAACGAUGAACACUAGUUAUUGGGGGUAUUGACUCCCUCAGUGACGCAGCUAACGCAUUAAGUGUUCCGCCUGGGGAGUACGGUCGCAAGACUAAAACUCAAACAAAUUGACGGGGGCCCGCACAAGCGGUGGAUUAUGUGGUUUAAUUCGAAGCAACGCGCAGAACCUUACCUAGGCUUGAACUCCUCAGAAUCCGGUGUAAUUGCUGGAGUGUCCGCAAGGAAAUUGAGUGAGAGGUGCUGCAUGGCUGUCGUCAGCUCGUGUUGUGAAAUGUUGGGUUAAGUCUCGCAACGAGCGCAACCCCUAUCGUCUGUUGCCAGCAUUAAGUUGGGCACUCUGACGAGACUGCCUGGGUUAACCAGGA